UACGUAGGGGGCAAGCGUUGUCCGGAUUUAUUGGGCGUAAAGAGCGUGUAGGCGCCAGACAGGUCCGUUGUGAAAACUCGAGGCUCAACCUCGAGACGUCGAUGGAAACCGUCUGGCUAGAGUCCGGAAGAGGAGAGUGGAAUUCCUGGUGUAGCGGUGAAAUGCGCAGAUAUCAGGAAGAACACCUAUGGCGAAGGCAGCUCUCUGGGACGGUACUGACGCUGAGACGCGAAAGCGUGGGGAGCGAACAGG
rnacentral:rRNA from 1 species